AAACCGGCUACUGAAUUUACUUAUCUAUACGUGUUUCUGCAAAAAUUUAGAAAAAGCUGGCAACAGUAAUGCCACCAUGUUACAAGCGCUUUCAAGACAUCAGAGUCAUUAAGGUCCCUGAAAAUGGCUACAAAU
ensembl:snoRNA